CAGACUGCUUUUUCUUCUUCCCCAGACACUGCUUUUGAAAAUAAAAUAAAAACAAAUGAAGCCUUCACUUUGACUUCUUUUUUAAAACAUUAAAGAACCUUUUUUUUUUUUAAAACCUUAAAUGUUUGGUUGGAGGGAAUGGCUAUUCCAUUCCCUUCUUAUUUUUUGAUGACUAGUAAUACUUUUGUUUGGUUCACCGUUUCUUCAUUCGGCCGCAUUACUUAAAGCGUUUCUAUUCCCUCAAACGCGUAAUAGGGAUUCAGCGCUGAAAGCUUGGAAUGGCUAUUCCAACCAUCGCUGAAUAGAAAUGAAGAAAAUUCUUCCCAAAAUCUCCUUCAGACUUUCUCUGCAAAUGCGUUCAAAAUUGCUUCUUUUAUUACAACAAUACACUUUCAGUAUUUCAGAUUUGGAGAUAUGGUGCAACAAACGAAAAUUUAUUAAGAAAUAUACAUUAUAGUGCUUUGGAGCAGACACAAAUUGAAGUCCAGACACUAAAAGGUCAAAUGGAACUAGAAAUUCUGCUAGCGGGCAGUAUAGAUAGCUCCUUCAAGUAUAAAUGGAGGUGGAAAUAGAUAUAUAUAUGUAUCUGCAUCCUCUUCCAAGUACAAGAUGCCUUCGAUUUUCUAUUAUUGUACUAUAAAUUCUAGUACUUUAGUUGGAUCUACAAGUCAGUAAUGUCAGUUUUCUAGCUUCAGUGUUCUGUUUUUAUGAACUUGUUAACAAAAUUUAGGUCAGGGUUGAAAGCUGAAAUUGGAAUACUCUUUCCUAGGAUAUUUUUCUCCGGCAUUAAUCAGUGCAGUGCUUAGUUGGCAUCAUUAAGUCAAUGGGAGCUUGGAUGGAUCAAGAGCUGAAGUAGUAAUUCUGACUUGUCUAGAAGCUUUGAGAGUGACACUUCAUCGGAGAGACUUUCAACCUCGAUUGUAGAAAAUGGAGUUGUCCCUGAUUGUGAGUUGCAUCUAGAAAUGAAUUUUGAAUUGUCAGAUACUGCUACGCUUGAGCAACGCCGGGCUUACAAGAUUGAACUCCAAAAAGGUGGCUCAUUAUUUAACAGGAAUCUUUCCAAAGGCAUCGAGUUUCUUAUAAAUACAUGCAGAUGAGAGCUUUAUUGCUUGAUAGACCAGGCUUUUCUUCAGCCAAGUUAAAUAGUUCCAUGACUAUUUCAUUCUUGAGAUAUUCCAAUGGAAGCACAAAGUGUUUCUGAUCCACACUGUAUACAACAAAAUCGCCCUGCUCAACUGUUGUCAACGUGUUGCAACUGUUUGCGCCAGUGUCUGAGGUGGCACUUGAUGGCAAAUAUGGAGAACCACUUUCAGAACAUAGAAAAUCAAAUCAAUCAACGUACGGUUUUAGUGUAGCAGAUUAGAAACUCAAGAAGUUGAACAAGAGGUGGUCGCUCUCAAGGAAUUAACACUGAUUUUCUGAAUAAUAACACAAUAUGCAUACUUAUGUAGCUUUUUUAUGGUAUAAUGAUAUGAUAGAAUGUGAUUACAAUGUUGUAACUUUUGAUGUUGUAAAAUUUUAUAACAUAUGAAUUAUGACAUAUAAACUAAUGAAAUCAUGUAACUUUUUGUUAAUAUAUGAAUAUUAUGUUUGGAUGUGAAAUAUAA